CCCGCACAAGCGGUGGAGCAUGUGGUUAAUUCGACGCAACGCGAAGAACUUACCAGGGCUUGACAUCCCCUGACCGCGUAUGAAAGUACGUUUUCACCUUCGGGUGACAGGGAGACAGGUGGUGCAUGGUUGUCGUCAGCUCGUGUCGUGAGAUGUUGGGUUAAGUCCCGCAACGAGCGCAACCCCUAUUGUUAGUUGCCAUCAUUCAGUUGGGCACUCUAGCGAGACUGCCGGUAAUAAACCGGAGGAAGGUGGGGAUGACGUCAAAUCAUCAUGCCCCUUAUGACCUGGGCUACACACGUGCUACAAUGGUUGGUACAACGAGUUGCGAGUCGGUGACGGCGAGCUAAUCUCUUAAAGCCAAUCUCAGUUCGGAUUGUAGGCUGCAACUCGCCUACAUGAAGUCGGAAUCGCUAGUAAUCGCGGAUCAGCACGCCGCGGUGAAUACGUUCCCGGGCCUU
rnacentral:rRNA from 1 species